UUCCCAUACAUAGACCAUUGUGUGGCGCGGCGCCACAGAAUCAACCUCGAGCGCCACGAAUUGAUUCUGUCUUUUUUUAUUUUAUUAAUAAUAUUACUAUUAUUUAUUUAUUUAUAACGCGAUUUGGAAAUCUAAAAAUCGUACCGUCCAUUCAUCUCCGCAUAGCACUCGUUCUCCCUGUCAUUCUCGUACACACACACACACGGAGCGAGAGCGACGAUACGCUAACACAUGAACCCACCGAUGUCACCCGUCGCUUAGCAACCGGACACGCUGGGGUUGAUAAGUUACUGGACUACUGUAACUACUACGGAGUGGUAAUAACUAAGACGUGAAUCAGGCAAUAAAUCCAAUUUCCUUGACAGCGGUAAAGUUCGGUGUGCAUUAAAGUACAGACGGAGUGGACCAAUUGCGAACUACUGCAGCUGCUCUAAGUUAAACCCCAAACUAAUCUGAAUAAGUGUUUAUAGCGGACUACACCACCUCUUCUAUUCCACAUUGAAUUCUAUUCCGAACCGAUUGAGGCCCCUGUAUAUGAUACUUUUCUAUUCCGAUUGAGCUGUUCUUCCACAUCUAUGCGGAUCAGAUGUGUCCGCAUGUAAACGCAGAGUUACAUGCACACUCACUGACGGCUGAUUCGCCCGCUCCUCCUGUCCACGCGCAAUGCUUGAGGUCAAUGGAAAAAUAUAUUUGGCACAGAGAAGACGGUCUGCGACAUUUGCAGUUUACCAAAGGUUAGUAUGAUAUACUGUGGUCUAACACACCUGCCCAAAUUUUUUGUUAACUCAGAAAAGGUAAUAUUAGCUUUAUGAACUCAACGUUAUUGAUAUUGAACAUCCCGCACCCGUCAUCAUAGACAACGUCGUUGGUAACGCAGCGAACACUGCGAUUAAGAUGAAAUACGGUUAUAGUUUAGAUAGGCCUAUACGGUGCCCAUAUCAAAAAGAAUAGAAAACAUUUAUUACAUUCUAUUCUUAAUAUUAUUUUAUUCUGACUCUGAAUGUUUGUUGCUUUAAUCCAGAUGAGUAUUGAAAAGUUUUUUCUGCACCAAAAAAGGCCUCGUCCAGACGACGCGGAGCAGCUUGAGGAGGUAGUUAGCUUAGUCUGAAAUCAAGUUGAACAGUCAAAUGGCUGUGGCUAGUAAGUGUUUAUUAAAUAUAUAAUAAAUUCAUUUCGAAUGUUCCUAGGCAUCAAACAGUGCUGAACAACCCAGUGCUUCUCAGGGGCCGGGCUGUUCAGGAGAGAUACUGAUUAAUAUAGGCCAGGAGGACAGCAGACAAAAUGUUGCUGAGAGGUGGAAACAGAUUAGUGUAGAUUUUAACUUUAAAAAAAUAAGAGUAGGGAAAGUAAUUUCGAUCCUUCUGUUCCUGGUAGAGAAAAUUUGCUGAUCUGUUCAUUGUAGGUCAUCCAACCCUACAUUACUGGCCUGGAGACCGAACUGAAAAGGAGGUUCCAGGAGCUGGACAUCCUAGGAGCCUUCCAAGUCCUUAUACCUCAGUCGGCUGCCCUCCCUGACAAUAUGUGCAUUGCAUUCAUUAUUUUAGUUAGUUGCCUUGUUGUACCUAGUAGUAUAUUGUUACUAUUUAUUUUAUUUUUCCUAAAAAAGUUAAAUAUUGAUUCAGGUAGGUCUUGAGAUAAUUUGUACUUGAAAUAAAAACCUCCAGCUUUAGUUGUCUGUUGCAAUUCAUUCCUUGAAUGUCACAGAAUCAAAAGUUCUGGUAAAAACUAAACUUGUGGGCUGACGCCGCCGCG